CCUACGGGUGGCAGCAGUGAGGAAUAUUGGUCAAUGGGCGGAAGCCUGAACCAGCCAAGUAGCGUGCGGGAUGAAGGCCCUACGGGUCGUAAACCGCUUUUGCACGGGGAUAACACCCUCCACUUGUGGAGGUCUGCAGGUACUGUACGAAUAAGGAUCGGCUAACUCCGUGCCAGCAGCCGCGGUAAUACGGAGGAUCCAAGCGUUAUCCGGAUUUAUUGGGUUUAAAGGGUGCGUAGGCGGAUUGAUAAGUUAGAGGUGAAAUGUCCGGGCUCAACUCGGGAACUGCCUCUAAUACUGUUGAUCUAGAGAGUAGAUGCGGUAGGCGGAAUGUAUGGUGUAGCGGUGAAAUGCUUAGAGAUCAUACAGAACACCGAUUGCGAAGGCAGCUUACCAAUCUAUAUCUGACGUUGAGGCACGAAAGCGUGGGGAGCAAACAGGAUUAGAUACCCUUGUAGUC
rnacentral:rRNA from 1 species